rnacentral:rRNA from 1 species
UACGUAGGAGGCAAGCGUUGUCCGGAUUUACUGGGCGUAAAGAGCGCGCAGGCGGUCGUGCAAGUCGCGUGUGAAAGCCCCCGGCUCAACUGGGGAGGGUCACGCGAUACUGUUCGACUCGAAGGCAGGAGAGGGAAGCGGAAUUCCCGGUGUAGUGGUGAAAUGCGUAGAUAUCGGGAGGAACACCGGUGGCGAAGGCGGCAUCCUGGACCAAUUCUGACGCUGAGGAGCGAAAGCCAGGGGAGCAAACGGG